GUGCCAGCAGCCGCGGUAAUACGAAGGGGGCUAGCGUUGUUCGGAAUUACUGGGCGUAAAGCGCACGUAGGCGGACUUUUAAGUCAGGUGUGAAAUCCCGGGGCUCAACCUCGGAACUGCAUUUGAAACUGGAAGUCUUGAGAUCAGGAGAGGUUAGCGGAAUACCGAGUGUAGAGGUGAAAUUCGUAGAUAUUCGGUGGAACACCAGUGGCGAAGGCGGCUAACUGGACUGAUACUGACGCUGAGGUGCGAAAGUGUGGGGAGCAAACAGGAUUAGAUACCCUGGUAGUCC
rnacentral:rRNA from 1 species